GAUGAACGCUAGCUACAGGCUUAACACAUGCAAGUCGAGGGGAAACGACAUCGAAAGCUUGCUUUUGAUGGGCGUCGACCGGCGCACGGGUGAGUAACGCGUAUCCAACCUGCCCACCACUUGGGGAUAACCUUGCGAAAGUAAGACUAAUACCCAAUGAUAUCCCACGAAGGCAUCGGAAUGGGAUUAAAGAUUUAUCGGUGAUGGAUGGGGAUGCGUCUGAUUAGCUUGUUGGCGGGGUAACGGCCCACCAAGGCGACGAUCAGUAGGGGUUCUGAGAGGAAGGUCCCCCACAUUGGAACUGAGACACGGUCCAAACUCCUAUGGGAGGCAGCAGUGAGGAAUAUUGGUCAAUGGGCGCAGGCCUGAACCGGCCAAGUCGCGUGAGGGAGGACGGUCCUACGGGAUUGGUAAAACCUCUUUUGUCGGGGAGUAACGUGCGGGACGGGUCCCGUAUUGAGAGUACCCGAGAAAAAGCAUCGGCUAACUCCGUG
rnacentral:rRNA from 1 species